AGAGCGAACGCUGGCGGCAGGCUUAACACAUGCAAGUCGAGCGGGCGUAGCAAUACGUCAGCGGCAGACGGGUGAGUAACGCGUGGGAACGUACCUUUUGGUUCGGAACAACACAGGGAAACUUGUGCUAAUACCGGAUAAGCCCUUACGGGGAAAGAUUUAUCGCCAAAAAGAUCGGCCCGCGUCUGAUUAGCUAGUUGGUGAGGUAACGGCUCACCAAGGCGACGAUCAGUAGCUGGUCUGAGAGGAUGAUCAGCCACAUUGGGACUGAGACACGGCCCAAACUCCUACGGGAGGCAGCAGUGGGGAAUAUUGCACAAUGGGCGCAAGCCUGAUGCAGCAACGCCGCGUGAGGGACGACGGCCUUCGGGUUGUAAACCUCUUUAGUAGGGAAGAAGCGAAAGUGACGGUACCUGCAGAAAAAGCACCGGCUAACUACGUGCCAGCAGCCGC
rnacentral:rRNA from 1 species